CGUGUAGGCGGUGCGGUAAGUUGGGCGUGAAAUCCCCGAGCUUAACUCGGGUGGGCCGUUCAAGACUGCCGUGCUAGGGCGCGGGAGAGGGAAGUGGAAUUUCCGGUGUAGCGGUGAAAUGCGUAGAUAUCGGGAGGAACACCUGCGGCGAAGGCGGCUUCCUGGACCGUAACCGACGCUGAGGCGCGAAAGCUAGGGGAGCAAACAGGAUUAGAUACCCUGGUAGUCCUAGCCCUAAACGAUGAGCACUGGGUGUGGCCCCUCACGAGGCCGUGCCGAAGCUAACGCAUUAAGUGCUCCGCCUGGGGAGUACGGUCGCAAGGCUGAA
rnacentral:rRNA from 1 species